rnacentral:rRNA from 1 species
CAGUCGCCACGGUAAUACGAAGGGUGCAAGCGUUAAUCGGAAUUACUGGGCGUAAAGCGUGCGUAGGCGGUUUGUUAAGUCUGCUGUGAAAUCCCCGGGCUCAACCUGGGAAUGGCAGUGGAUACUGGCUCGCUAGAGUGUGUCAGAGGAUGGUGGAAUUCCGCGUGUAGCAGUGAAAUGCGUAGAUAUGCGGAGGAACACCGAUGGCGAAGGCAGCCCCCUGGGCCAACACUGACGCUCAUGCACGAAAGCGUGGGGAGCAAACAGGAUUAGAUACCCCCGUAGUCCCUGUCUCUUAUAU